rnacentral:tRNA from 5 species
GGAGUGGUAGUUCAGUUGGUUAGAAUACCGGCCUGUCACGCCGGGGGGCGCGGGUUCGAGUCCCGUCCACUCCGCCA